UGGGCUAGAAUGCCUCUGACAACCCUAGAGAUAGGGCCUUCUGGGUAAAACCAGACAGAGUGCAAGGUGCUGCAUGGCUGUCGUCAGCUCGGGUCGUGAGAUGUUGGGUUAAGUCCCGCAACGAGCGCAACCCUUAUCUUUAGUUGCCAGCAUUAAGUUGGGCACUCUAGAGAGACUGCCGUUGACAAAACGGAGGAAGGUGGGGAUGACGUGUCGUUACCUUA
rnacentral:misc_RNA from 1 species